rnacentral:rRNA from 1 species
UGAGGAAUAUUGGGCAAUGGGCGAAAGCCUGACCCAGCCAUGCCGCGUGCAGGAUGACAGUCCUAUGGAUUGUAAACUGCUUUUGUAUGGGAAGAAUUCCCCCGACUCUUCGGGGGUUGACGGUACCAUUCGAAUAAGGACCGGCUAACUCCGUGCCAGCAGCCGCGGUAAUACGGAGGGUCCAAGCGUUAUCCGGAUUCACUGGGUUUAAAGGGUGCGCAGGCGGAAUAGUAAGUCAAUGGUGAAAGCCUACAGCUUAACUGUAGAAUGGCCAUUGAUACUGCUGUUCUUGAGUAUAGUUGAGGGAAGUGGAAUGCGUAAUGUAGCGGUGAAAUGCAUAGAUAUUACGCAGAACACCAAUUGCGAAAGCAGCUUCCUAAACUACUACUGACGCUGAGGCACGAAAGCGUGGGGAGCGAACA